rnacentral:misc_RNA from 1 species
GAUGAAGAACGUAGCGAAAUGCGAUAAGUACUGUGAAUUGCAGAAUUCAGUGAAUCAUCGAAUCUUUGAACGCACAUUGCGCCCCUUGGUAUUCCGAGGGGCAUGCCUGUUCGAGCGUCAUUAUAACCCCUCAAGCUCAGCUUGGUGUUGGGGCCUGCUGCACUGGCAGCCCUUAAAAUCAGUGGCGGCGCCAUCUGGCUCUAAGCGUAGUAAUUCUUCUCGCUAUGGAGUCCUGGUGGAUGCUUGCCAUCAACCCCCAAUUUUUCUAUGGUUGACCUCGGAUCAGGUAGGGAUACCCGCUGAACUUAAGCAUAUCAAUAAGCGGAGGA